CUUAUCGUGAGGUAAGGGCUGGAGGAAGCGUGGAAUAAUAUCUUGGCUCGACAAACAGAAAUCUGAUACCAAGGCUCGGAAUCCACAUUGGAAACGAAAGUGUAUGUAACACGAAAAGGGGAUGUUCACAUUACGA
rfam:Lysinibacillus sinduriensis BLB-1 = JCM 15800 contig11, whole genome shotgun sequence.